rnacentral:tRNA from 1 species
GCUAAUUUGGCAGAAAAGUGCAUUGGAUUUAGAACCCAAAAAUAUCAUUUGGUAGUUAGUA